rnacentral:sRNA from 1 species
UAGAUACAAUAAUUAUAUUAUAUCUAUGAAAAUUCAGAUGGGUGAUCGCCAAGGCAGUGGCAGGUUGAUAUUAACACAGGAUGUGUUCGAUUUCAUUAGGUUAGCUUCGCUGUUGGAUUUCACCAAAAUUCCUUUGAUUUGUAUACUGGAAGCAGAAGAGUCUCUUCGGAGCCUUUUAACCCGUCAACGAAAGUGUAUAGAUAAACUUGUGCAGGAAAACAAAAUUUUUCAAGAUGAGUAUAAAAUUUUGCAACAGAUUGAGAAAGCAGAAGGCCCGACCGAUAUCAGUUUACUUGAUGUUCGGUUACUGUGUGUAUUAGUUAGAAACAUUGGUAGUAUCCCCGGUCCGAAAAACGGAUGGAAUCGGAGGGGACUAAGAGCAGACGAUACAAGCAAAGGAGCAGACGUACUACGAAUCGGGAACAUCCGGAAUGAAUGCCAUCAUUUGCCGUCAUCUAACAGAAUAACGAAAGAAAAAUUCGACGAAAUUUAUCCAAAACUGAAAGAGGUUCUGAGUAGAUUAGUGGGAGGAACUCCAAAUGAAAGAGAUUUCCAGUUGCUGGUCAGAGACUUUGACGACCAGGACUUUGCCAAACGCCAAUGUAAUACGAGGACAAUUCUAGAGAAAGUCGCCCGAAGAUGGAGACUCAAUACUGGAUGUGAAACUUCGGAGGAAAAUACGGACAUUGAUGACUCAGAAGAUGUAGACAACGAUGAUGACUCGGUUACAUUCCUGAAGUGUUGUUUUGCAAACGACGUCGAUAGCGUAAAAAGGAAAUUAGAUUCACUGACAAAAGAAACUAUACAAGAAGGCAUAGCAAUCGCAUGUAGGAAGGGAUAUUACGAAAUGUUUAGGAUAUUAAUUGAUCAAUACGGGCUGUUGAACCACAACGACCUUCGAAACGCAUGCCAAGGCGGAUCACUGGAAAUCGUAUCGGCAAUAUUAGAGAAACUAAAUCAAACAACCUUGGAAGAUCACAUCACAGAAAACGUUGGGUUCAGGCGAUGCUGCAUUCACCAUGCAGCUAAUUUAGGCUUCAGUUCCAUUGUAAACUGCCUCAUUCAAAAGAUUCCAAGAAUUUUAAUGGCGGUGGACAAGGCUAACAAUACUGCCAUGCACUUUGCCAGCAUGAGGGGACACACAGAUGUCAUGGAAACUAUCCUGCAAACGAAAAUUGGCAGGACUCAGGUGAAUGCUCUAAAUGGUAAAUGCCAGAUUCCUUUACAUUUUGCAGCUUAUUUUGGACAACUUUCAGCAGUCAAGUUUUUGAUCGACAAUGGGGCAGAAAUAAAUUGCAAAGACAGAGAUGGGAAUAGUGUGGCAGACUGGUGUACUAAGGGAAAGGAACAGCGUUUACAGUUUUCCUGGUACGAUCCGGAACUUCAAAUCUGGCCUGUGAGUUACGGGUCUCCCGAAGACUACGAAAACAUUAAUAAAAUUCUUCAAGGUUGAUCUGUAUAUCGGAGGUAAUAACUUGGUAGAAGGUUUUACCAGUUCAAUUUGAAUUGGUAUUUUUUUUAAGCCGCAGAGAGUUGUAUGUUUUAACCUUAUUUAUUAAUAUCUUGCGUUUUAUGUACA